UGCAAGCGUUGUCCGGAAUCACUGGGCGUAAAGGGCGCGUAGGCGGCUCGGUAAGUAGGGGGUGAAAUCCUGCGGCUUAACCGCAGGGCUGCCUUCUAAACUGUCGAGCUCGAGCACGGUAGAGGCAGAUGGAAUUCCCGGUGUAGCGGUGGAAUGCGUAGAGAUCGGGAAGAACAUCAGUGGCGAAGGCGGUCUGCUGGGCCGUUGCUGACGCUGAGGCGCGACAGCGUGGGGAGCAAACAGGAUUAGAUACCCUGGUAGUCCACGCCGUAAACGAUGGGCACUAGGCGUCGGGGGGAGCGACCCUCCCGGUGCCGUCGCUAACGCAGUAAGUGCCCCGCCUGGGGAGUACGGCCGCAAGGCUG
rnacentral:rRNA from 1 species